rnacentral:misc_RNA from 1 species
UCCGGUUUGUCACCGGCAGUCACCUUAGAGUGCCCAACUGAAUGCUGGCAACUAAGAUCAAGGGUUGCGCUCGUUGCGGGACUUAACCCAACAUCUCACGACACGAGCUGACGACAACCAUGCACCACCUGUCACCGCUGUCCCCGAAGGGAAAGCCUUAUCUCUAAGGCGGGCAGCGGGAUGUCAAGACCUGGUAAGGUUCUUCGCGUUGCGUCGAAUUAAACCACAUGCUCCGCUGCUUGUGCGGGCCCCCGUCAAUUCCUUUGAGUUUUAGCCUUGCGGCCGUACUCCCCAGGCGGGGCACUUAAUGCGUUAGCUUCGGCACGGAGGGAGUCGACACCCCCCACACCUAGUGCCCAUCGUUUACGGCGUGGACUAC